UCAUCAAAAGACAUAAUUAAGAAACUGAAAUAGGCAAGCCACAGAGUGGGAGACAAUAUUCACAAGAAAAUAACUUACAUCGAGAAUAUUUAAAGAAGUCACUAAAUCAAUAAUGGGGAGACAAAUGAUCCAAAAUGGGCAAUGGUCUAGAACAGACUCCACAAAAUGAAGCAUGUAGAUGAUCACAUGAAAAGGUGUUUAAUAUUAUUAGUCACCAGGGAAUUGCAAAUUAAAAUCCAAGGAGAUGUCACUUCACACCCACUAUAAUGGCUAAAAAUUGUAAAAGACUGACAACAUCAAAUCUUGGUUAAAAAAAAAAAAGAGAGAAAGAGCAAUAGGGACUCUCAUACACUGCUGGCGAGGAUUUAAAAUGCUGGAACUGUUUUGAAGCUCACUUUGGUAGUUUUUCAUAAACUUAAACAUACUCCUGCCUAUAGCAACUUUCCUUUUAGGUAUUUGCUCCAGAGAAAUGAAAACAUAGCCACAAAAUGACUUAAGGAAAGAUGUUCUACAAGGCCAAAAACUGGAAAUAAUCACAUACCUAUUAGAGGUACAGAAUUCAAUGAGUUUUAUUAUAGAUCAUUAGUUCCCCUUCUCUGCUUAACAACAAAAAGAAAACCAAAACUGCAGGACACUCAAGGACAACCUCUAACACAGAAGACAGAGGACCCCCCCCCC